rnacentral:rRNA from 1 species
CACCUGUUUAUCAAAAACAUGUCUUAUUGAUUAUAAUUUUAAGUCUAAUUUGCUCAAUGGAAAUUUGAAUGGCUGCAGUAUCAAUAACUGUACAAAGGUAGCAUAAUAAUUAGUUUUUUAAUUGAAAACUAGAAUGAAAGAUUAAAUGAAAUAUAAAUUUUAUAAAUAAAAUAAAAAUUUAAAUUAAAUUUUAAGUUAAAAUUCUCAAAUAUUAUUAAAAGACGAGAAGACCCUUUAGAACUUUAUAUUAAUUAUAUUAAAUGUAUAAUAAUUCUAAUAUAAAUUAUUAAUUAAUAUUUAAUUGGGGUAAUUUUAUAAUUAAAUAAACUUUUAAAUAAUUAUUACAUAAAUUAAUGAAUUUAUAAACCUAAAUUUUAGUAUUUUAAAAUAAAUUACCUUAGGGAUAACAGCGUAAUUUUUUUUGAAAGUUCACAUUUAUAAAAAAGAUUGCGACCUCGAUGUUGAAUUAAGAUUAAAUUAAAAGCAAAAAUUUAAUAUUUUAAGUCUGUUCGACUUUUAAAAUCU